GCGGCGCGUGGGCGCGCGUGCUGUGUUUUCCGGCGACGAAAUUUUCAGAAAAUGUGCGCCAGACACUGUGUGUCACAAUGGUGUGGGAGGUGAGUCCAAGAAACUCCCGAGGGAUGUCGAAACACUGUCGGAACAGUGUUCCGGGCAGUGGGGGUAAGGGGGGAGAAGGUGGGGUAGUGACACUUACCUGGUGGUUACCUGGGGGUGCCG
rnacentral:lncRNA from 1 species